AUACGUAGGGGCCAAACGUUGUCCGGAUUUAUUGGGCGUAAAGGGCUCGUAGGCGGUUCAACAAGUCGGUCGUGAAAACCCGGGGCUCAACCCCGGGACGCCGGUCGAAACUGUUGUGACUAGGGUCCGGUAGAGGUGAGUGGAAUUCUCGGUGUAGCGGUGGAAUGCGCAGAUAUCGAGAGGAACACCAGUAGCGAAGGCGGCUCACUGGGCCGGUACCGACGCUGAGGAGCGAAAGCAUGGGGAGCAAACAGGAUUAGAAACCCUAGUAGUCC
rnacentral:rRNA from 1 species